AGUGUGAGACGAUAGGGACAAUUUAUAAACACUGUUAAUGCUUCAAAUACUUGAUGUCAAGCCGAAAUGGAACUGUGGAGAUGUACAAUAUAUAUUUAGUAUAAUAUACCAACCGUUUUAUUACCCCAAACUUGAAGAAGAAGUAAUACUAGCGAUUCAAUGGUGAUAUAUCGAAAUAGUAGGUCUGGGCUUAAUAUAGCACAUAGCAGUACAUAUAUGUCAUAUGUAAUAUAAAUUGUUCUCAAUUCAGUAGCUGAGCGACUUAUGGUGGGAGUCUGAAGUAGAAUUAAGGAGAGAAAGCAGAGACACCACAUAAUAGUGAUCUAGAUCAUCCUGGACACGUCUUAUUUUCUAUUUAUGUUCCAUAUAAUACAUGACAGUAGAUGCGGAAAAAAGUACCUCCGAUGCAAGAUCAUCCAGUUCAGACUAUUACUGUCUGAAAUAAUUUAUGUCCUGAAAAGUUAACGUCUUCCAGCCAAAUGAUCGACAUGUCGAUUCUAAAUCGGGACACUCUUACGAGUUGUGUCCUCAAUGGCAUAAUUGCCUUCGUGGGCCUUCUUGGAAACGCUCUAAUGCUCAGAGCUCUAAUAAAAUACGACAGAUUGAGGUUGGAUGUGUAUGUCAUUUUUGGUGGCUUAGCUCUUGCGGAUAUGUUCCAUUUAUGUUUUGCUGUACCCGCCAAAAUCAUGGACACAGUUCACGCCGUGGAAGUGACAACAGAUUCCUGGUGUAAAGUAAGUCGGUACGUAUCUAAUGCAACGGCAUACGUAGCUGCCUAUCACAUUGUUGUGCUUUCAGUAUUAAGAGGUAUCGUGUUGACGAACAGAGGAAAUGCUUCGCCCACUGCUAAACAUGCGACUAUCAGUAGUGGUAUUUUAUGGACUGUGGCUUUAUUAGCAUCCACUCCAGUUUUCUUUACAUUUCAACAAGAUGAAUAUACUGAAUUAUGUGCGGUAUCACCUUCAGCGAGCAUACACACAGCUAUUUGGUUAGAGGGAGCUUUUGGUUUCUUUUUGCCAAUGAUUCUUAUUCUAUUUCUCUAUUUUGUAACACACUACGUUGCCAAACGAUAUUUUUCAGACAGCUAUUCAUUGCAUGCGAGAAAAAUGUCUCGUUUAAUCAACGCCAUAGUCAUUGCCUUUUGCAUUUGUCAGUUGCCGUAUCAGUUAUUUUACCUAUAUUUAUUUUAUGAGGACGAAAAAGCCUCCGAUGAAUCCUUAACCAAUCCGAAUUAUGACUUCACUUAUGUGGAUACUUUGUAUACGGUUUCUGAUUAUCUGUACUGUCUGUUGCUAGCAGACCGGUGUAUUCGGCCAGUGCUUUAUUCGAAGCUUGCUUCCGAUUUAGGCGAUUGUUUUGAUGAAGUUAUAAACUGUACAUAUUGUAAUAAUAUAUCUCGUAACCAUAAAUCCCAUAGACCAAAGGUUCGACACAGCAGUUCAACGUCACAGGCACCGCUUACCGGAAAUAACCCGGACGAGAGUAGAGAAGAGAUUUCUUUGUAGGAAAAAAAACCCAAACCUUGUAUUGUUAGUCUUUUCUUACAAGAUCUAUUUGUGGGAGCCGCAAAUGUGGCGACGAGUUAUGUUUAAAUGACAAAUGGACAUAAAGACAUUGACGUAUGAUGCUUUGGUGAUUCUCGAAUUGCUGUUAAAGAAUGGUGACGAUCGCAGACGUUAUACCUAGUGAGAUGUUUUUUUAAAUGUGAAAUUAAGUGGGAGUGAAAAAAGUGACACUGAAAAUAUCGUUUGCCUGGAUGUUUCAAAGACACUGGUUGUUUGCUUAUAUACUUUUAUAGUUCAAGAAAUAAACAAUGUGCUAGAGACAUUGAUCAUGUGCGCUUAAGCGAAUCGAUAAAACAAAUACUCUUUACCGUUUGUCUUCGAAUGGCCUUAAAGACGCGGCUAUAAAAAAUAACAUUAAGUAUUAACGAUUACGAGUGUAUUUAUCAAUUCAAAAAAAGAAUUUUCGUAGAUAUGACAUCGUGAGUUUAUAAGUUAUGAUUUAUAUUAUAUUAUAUCGUAGUCAAUCUGUUACAAUUUUCAUAAUAUGAAGAAUUUGGAUGUGAGGGUGGAGGCAUUAUCAGAAAAUGGGUUGAAAAUGGUAGUAAAUAAGCAUUCGCCCCCUCCCAAAUGUUUGCUGCGUUAACGACACACUUUGUGUUAAAUAAUGGUAAUUAACAGAUUGUAAACAUUUUCUAUGAAUAUAUACAUUAUUUAAUAUCAUGCAGAGUAAAUGUUUUAACAGCUGUCCCGUUUUUUAAAUUAAGCGCCUUGUUAUAUAUCAUAUUUCUCUACUGCAGUCUAAUACCUCCAUCAGCUUCCGGUGACGGUUAUAUGGGUAAUAACUAGCGAUAUGGACAAGUGUGCUAAUAUAUACGUGUAUUAGUUCGAGGUACACAAUUCUAUGGAUUAAAAUUACUGUUUAUUACUGGGCGACGUUUCUACUAAAGGAUUCUCUCUCGUCUUUAUCAAGUAAUGACAUAGAAUCCGAGUCGAAACGUAGCUCAAUAAUUAUAUUCCAUAAAAUUGUGCACUGUGUAUUUCCAGAAUUACUUAAUGUCAUUGAAAUAAUUUAGUUUGACUUGCAUAUGCUUGUUCAGCAUCCAUUCAUUAUCCUACUUAUAGACAUCUACGCCAUGUCAUUUGUACUUUAAUUUUCAUUGUUUUCCUUUUUUAUACGCCCACAUUGAAAUGUGAUUGUAUAUUGUCGUCGCUCCUGUCCGUCCGUCCGCCCGUCAGUCCACAAUUGCUUGUGAACGCUCUAGAGGCUAAAGUUAAUAUCCGUUUUACUUUAAAUGUAUACACAGUGUUUAAUGUUAUGAGACGAAGAAGCCUAUUGAUUUUCACCGAUUUCAAAUAGUUACUGCCAGAGUUAUGGCCCGUAAUCACCUUGAAAAAUGUUGUGGACGCUCUAGAAGCUAAAGUUAAUAUCCGAUUGACUUCAACCUCUAUACACAAUGUUUAAGGUAAUCAGAGGAAGAAUCCUAUUGAUUUUCAACGAUUUCCGAUAUGGCCCUUGAUCACUUUGAAAACCCUUGUGGACACUCUAGAGGCCAUAGUUAUCAUCUGAUUGAUUUUAUAUUUAUACACCGUGUUUAUGCCUACAUAUAAUUGUUUCGAUUGACUUUAGAUUGGUACACAGAGUUUAAGGUCUUGAGACGAACAAGUAUAUUGAUUUUCAAUGAUUUUUGAACAGCUAAAUCCAUGAUAUUAAAUGUUUUGAAUACCAAAUGUUAGCAUGGGUCAAACAAAUUCUAAUGAUUUUCUGAUAAUUACUUCAUGAGUUUUUGCUUUUAAUCAGAUUUUAGUGUAUUAUAAAUGUUUCAUUGCCGACAAAAGUAAAAAUAUGCGACUACUCUUGUUGACUGCCCGUACGAUUUAGCUGAUGUGGCCGCAUGUUUCGUUGCCUAGCAACCUAUCUUUAGUAAAUUGGUAAUCAAUGUCGCUCUUUACCACUCAGUCGAUGCUGACAAAUGGGCUCAUUAUUCUAUAUAUCCCUUGUAAUUAGACGAUUGUAAUCAGUGUGAUUGAAUGCUUCUCUCUCAAGUGCAAGAAAGUUAUAUCAUGGUUUUAACGAGCUCAAUAUAAUUAUAUAUGGUGCCUUUCUGUAGACCAUUUCUUUCUUAAUUAUCCUAUUUAAAAUAUUUGUGCAUCAAACUGGUCAUUCGGUUUGGAAUACAUGAAAAUAUUGUAUCCUAGUCCUUUACGAUUAUCUGAAUGUCUUGUGGAAUGACUGUGGUAAUUUUUUUGCAGAAAUACAGACUUUCAGUUUCCAUAAAUGUAGGCUGAUAGCCAUGUCUAAAUUUAAGUUUACUAACAGGUGAUUGUCAUCCAUACAAUUUAAAAGCAAAUCUAGCGAUUACUUCUAAACAGCUCAAUAGUUUGAGAUGAAAAUUUUAGACAAGCUGAAAUAUAACUUUAAGUGAAACAUAACCUUUUAAAGUGAAACAUAACCUUAAGAGAAACAUAACCGCGAUAUCUUCCUAUUUGUGUGUGUUUAUACAUGGGUGAAUUCAUUGUAAAUAUACUUAUGUACAUCAUUAAUUAAUUCAUCAUUGAAAGUGCUAUUAUACAUAUUCAUUAUUUGUUUUUGUUAAUUGUAUUGUUAAUUGUGCUGACACGAAAUAUAAGUUUAUAAUAAUAUUAUAUUUUAAGAAAUCUAUUUUAAUCUAUCCUGAGAUGAGAUAAUUGUAUAUAGACAUUAUUUUUCUUUAAUCGAACACAUUUCAUUCUUGUGAGUCCUAAGUACAAGAACAGUGGAAGUAUGGGAUUCCUUGCUUUUGGGACAGUAAAAUACCAUUCAAUUUUGUUUUUUAUAUCUACAGGUUUCCAUAUAACAUAGUAUUUACAUGUUGACAAAUUUGGAAUGUCUGUGAAAUACCCGCAGGCUGAUUAAAAUCCGAUAUCACUUACGUUUCGUGUUAAUUUUUGGACUCAAUUUGUAUCUGGACCAAAGGUCAUAUGCUGAGAACAGCUGGAAUUUUAACUCACCUUAUUUAUAAUAGAUGCAACACAUUUUUGGAUGAGGUUAAUAAUCAAAUACUGAUACCAAUUUCAUUUACAUGACAGCAAAAGUUCAGAUCUCUUUAAAUGACCAGUCAGUCAAAUUAUCGGUCGUGCUGGUAUACGUAGUUGUGUUUUGGUGGGAAAUUCUAGAAAUAACACGAAGCAUAUACGAUGUCGUUCAGAUAACAAUGUACUGCAAGAAUCGUAAUUGUAAAGGAAACGAAAUCACACCCAUUAUACUACCACUGUUCUAUUGUACUUGAAUUAUUUUGCUCAAUAUUUUGUGUGAUUGUGAUAUUAGGCUUGUCUUGUAUUUUUUUCCUGAAGUAGUUUGCUCACGCACGUAGCCAUGACCGGUCUUCUUAGAUCGUUCAUACAUUUAACUAUGAAUACGAUUGGAGCUCACUCUUGUUUUAAAAUUUAUACGUAACCUAAGUCUGUUCCCCAUUAAUGUUCAGAAAUUCUUUCAGAAAUUCUGUUCAAGAAUAUACAUAUCACAGAAUUAGAAUAUUUAUACCACAAUCCAUCCCUGGAAAUCCUGCGGCUAUUUAGGUAUAGAUGUGCUAAUUUGAGACAAUCUCCAAUCAAAUUUACUCUUUCUAGAAAGGCAAGUUUGCUCCUGAAACUGUUAUGCCUUUCCAAGUUUACACUGAUUUCAAAUGAUUUAACAAAUAAAAAUCAUAAAUAAAUCAGCAAUCCUUUUCGUACAGUGAAAUGAAAUGGGGUUUAGUGAGGAUUAUUUUGCCUGGACAGAGGUGAUAGGCCUACGGCCUACUUUUAUUUCGAAUUCCAACUGUCAAGGGCUCUUUAAACCAUACGAGGUAAUAAUUAUAUUAUUAUUAUAUUACAAGAAAUAACCCAUAGUUGAUUUGGUACGAAGGAAUUCGCCUCUUUAACUAUAAUCAGUAUAUCCUAGUCGGUGAUUAUGUUAUUCUUGAUAAGAGAACAUUUAUUAUGUAAUAAUAUUCGACUAUUGUCAUCUACUUACCAAAAGGUCAAAGUUUACCACUUUAUUUAUCGACUGAUAAGCCAAGUCAAUAACACAAUCACGCCGGUAACUUUAUGUAAGUCAUUGACCCUGUUAAGAUAGUUUUCAGUCUGUAGUGAAUUGUAAGGUUUAGUCGUCUGCGUGAUGUUAACUGCACUUGUGAUAUCCGAAGAAAAUUCGUUUUAUCGGUAAUAAUUGUUUGACAAUGUAAACACUUCGUAAAAUAUAUAUACCCUUUUACGAGUAGUCUUACAGUCUUAAUGAAUUAUAGGGUUUCCUUAAAGGGUCAUGGGACUAUUUUCAUUGAUUAGCGUCUCACAUAAGAGGAAACAAAGUGACGCCCCAAAGGGAAGGACCGUGAGUGGACGGCAUAAUGGCCGCACAACCCCCACCCCACCCUACUCCACCCUAAAUACCCCAAUCGUGUUAAUCUGAAGUGUUUUUAAGUGCCAACGUCCAGCUUAAAAUUGUUAUCUUUCUCUUGUUGACCUUGUUUAAACCAAAACAUACCAGUUAUUCAAUGGCUUUUAACAUCGUGACAAUGUUUAAUUCUAUGUGUAGUCAUUAAUAUUAUUACUAUAUAUCGUUGUUAUCAAACCACCAUUAUGAAUCAUGGUUUAAUCGCUAAAUAUUAUUUUAUUGAUAUUUGUUGGGUGAGUGUGUAAACCUUUCUGAUUAUCAGGCUGUUUAUACCCAACUUAAUCUAGGUUAUAUCGUCUGGUUGAAACUGGUUACAGAUUUAUAUAAAUGUUAUUCACACUAACGCCAUAAAUUUAAGUACGCAACCAUGGUUUAUAAUAAAAAGCCCAGUUGAUAGUAAUAUUUUACAUUUAUAGUAAUAUUAUGUUGACGACAAGCUUGUUAUCCUACACUAUACUAUUUCAUAUUGUCACGCAUUUUGAACGAUAGGAGUGUGAAUCAAUAGGCUACUAUAGGUUUGUAAUAGGUUUAAUAUGAUAAACACGGACGAAUGAAUUAAGCUACUUUGAUCCCCAUUGCCAUUUCAGUGUCAGUAAUACAGUCUUGUUUAACGUGGAGUAAGCUUACCGGUGUAUUGCGCAAUUUAUGGUAAAAUAUCAUGGUUAUAGGUUUUAUGUGAAUAAUUAGUUUACGUUCGUCAUUAUACAUGAUAUUAUACCAAAUAUACAAACCUCGAGGUUAAAGUUAAUAUCCGAUUGACUUUGAAUGUAUACACAUUGUUAAAGUUCAUGAUACGAAGAAGCCUAUUUAUUUUUACCAAUUUCUGAUAACUACUGCCAGAGUUAUGGCCCUUGAUCACUUUGAAAAAUCUUGUAGACGCUCUAGAGAUUAAAGUUAACAUCCGGUUGACUUUAAAUUUAUACACAGUGUUGAAGGUCACGAGACGAAGAAGCCUAUUGAUAAUUACUUCCAGAGUUAUGGCCCUUGAUCACUUUGCGAAAUACAUAAUGGUUUCAGUUGACUUUAGGUUGAUACACAGCAGUUCGGAGCAAAACAGUAGGACGUUAAACCCCAUUUCAUUUUGAUACACAGAGUUUAAGGUCUUGAGACGAACAAGUACAUGUGUAUUAAUUUUCAAUGAUUUUGAUAACUUGAACAGCUAAAUUCACGAUAUUAAAUGUUUUGUAAUUUGUAUACUAAACGUUAGCAUGGGCUAAUGAUUUUCUGAUAAUUACUUAAGGAGUUGUUACUCUUAAUCAGAUUUUAGUGUAUUAUAAAUGUUUGAUUACCGACAAAAGUAAAAAUAUGCAACAACACUUGUUGACUGCCCAGACGACUUAGCUGCUAUGGGGGUAUGUUUCGUUGCCUUGCAACCUAUCUUUUGUGGUUUGGAGCAAAAUAGUUUUACUUAUCUAGCUUAUGACCAUUAUAUGAACUCAAAUGUAAAAUAUGAUGUGAAUGUUUGACCUCAACAUUAUAGAAGUUAUCUAUACGUCUGCGUGUUAAGCUAGUUUUUCAAGAAUAAUUACUGUCUCGUCAAAUGUGAUUACUUAUGUUAAACCCAACCGGCUUUAGAAAUGUACAUUAUACCAGGUGGUACAGAAAAUUAGGACGUUAAAUUCCGUUUCUUUUAUUUAAAAUCUACACCUAUAAUUAUUUGUUUCCCAAAUCAAAUCAUGUGUAUGUAUCUGUUUAAUCAUAAUAAUAUGGUAAAAUCUACAACCCGGAAGUGCCAGUUACACUGAGGAUAUAACAUAGUUUAGAAGUCAAAAGUCAGUAUAACGACAUUGGGUCUGUCUGGUACACUGGCCGACAAAGCGUAGUCGAGAACAAACCGUUGCAGCACUGAUAACCCCCUCACAGUAGCAGCAGUAUUGGAAUCCGACAGCUUGCGAUCCUGCAGAUGUACCGGUCUUGUUGAGACUUUGUCACGCGUUAUCGCCCAGACUUUGACCGAGCCCUAGUGGACCAUGUCUGGUGAAAAUGAUCAGUCAAUCUCCGUAGUACGGCAGCCCUGGUACUCCUGUUAUAUUGAAUUAACGCAAUGGCGCCUUCCCUGUAAUCAGGUGUUAACCUUGGCACACCGGUGUUUCCUCCACUGAACUGUAGAAGUUAUAGUGACCCUAAUUUUUUCAAAGUCAUAUUUUAUUCCCCACAUCAUUUUUCACGCGUUAUUAUCAUGUUCUCGUGUUGUUACAUUCACAAUUAAUCCUUGGCAGGCAAGAUCAUAUUGUAUCUUUACAUUCAAACGUAAAGAUAGACACACAAGUAAACAAGGGUAAUUUUAAAAUGUGGAAAUUUAUUUUGAAUGUGAACAGAUUAUAAAUUUAUAAACUGUCUACAGAUUACAAAUUUGUGAACUGUGAAAAGAUUAUAAAUUUGUAAACUGUGAAUAGAUUAUAACGUUGAACAUGUCAGUAUCUUUAAUAGCUUUCAUUUGUAUGUUAUUGUAUUAUCUAUCAGUCGAGAUUUACAGUUAUCCAUGUAGUUUGUUUUCAUUGCAUCUCUGUAUGUAAAAAUAACCUAUUCCCAAUCGCGACUUCAUUAUCUCGGUUGGUGCAGAAAAGUAGGACGUCAAACCCCAUUUCAUUUAUAUCACGCUCAUUUAUAUCCGCUCAUAUACAUAAUUAUUCUUGUACCUUUCAACAUCAGAGUGCCUUUAUUUCGUUCUAGAGGUUAAUCUGUGUUUUUUUGUUUAAUAUAUUUUGUGUGUUCAUUUGUAUAUUAAUACAGACCACAAAUUGAAGUAUCGGGUUUUUAUACCUCCUCAACGUGAAUGGCAUUAUAUUCUAUUAAUAUUAAUUAUGUUUAUAACCAAUUUGUACUGUUAUAUGGUGAAAUACCCUGACUUGCUUUGUAAACACACUAUAUACGUAUCUGUGCUCAAUUCAACCCGGAUUUUCUCGCUACGAAUUCUGGUUUAUAUAUUUGAUUAUAUAAUAUAGUCAUAUUAUCGUCUGGUGUCUGUUUAUUAUCUCAAACAGCAUUUGUUUGUGUCGUUUGAUUUAUUAUCAAAUUUAUGUCAUGGUGACUUGACCUAAAUAUAUAUAAGCACAGAUGUGAAAUUUCCCCAUAAAAUUUAUAGUUAGAAAAUUAGCAUAAAAUACUGAUAUUCAUAAUACUAACUGAAACAAAAUGAAAUGAAAUGGGGUUUAACGUCCUGCUGUUCUACCUCGACUGAGCCCAUUAAGACGGGCAUGCGCAUACAGUGCACUAUUUUGCCCGGACAGCGGCGUUAAGCCCUACUCUUAAUUCGAAUUUCAACUGUCAAGCGUUAGUUUACGUGCACGUCAAUGUGUAAAUGAAAUGAAAUGAAAUGAAAUGGGGUUUAACGUCCUACUGUUCUGCUCUUAUACUGGGCUGGAUGAGGUUAAUAAUCAAAUACUGAUACCAAUUUCAUUUACAUGACAGCAAAAGUUCAGAUCUCUUUAAAUGACCAGUCAGUCAAAUUAUCGGUCGUGCUGGUAUACGUAGUUGUGUUUUGGUGGGAAAUUCUAGAAAUAACACGAAGCAUAUACGAUGUCGUUCAGAUAACAAUGUACUGCAAGAAUCGUAAUUGUAAAGGAAACGAAAUCACACCCCUUAUACUACCACUGUUCUAUUGUACUUGAAUUAUUUUGCUCAAUAUUUUGUGUGAUUGUGAUAUUAGGCUUGUCUUGUAUUUUUUUCCUGAAGUAGUUUGCUCACGCACGUAGCCAUGACCGGUCUUCUUAGAUCGUUCAUACAUUUAACUAUGAAUACGAUUGGAGCUCACUCUUGUUUUAAAAUUUAUACGUAACCUAAGUCUGUUCCCCAUUAAUGUUCAGAAAUUCUUUCAGAAAUUCUGUUCAAGAAUAUACAUAUCACAGAAUUAGAAUAUUUAUACCACAAUCCAUCCCUGGAAAUCCUGCGGCUAUUUAGGUAUAGAUGUGCUAAUUUGAGACAAUCUCCAAUCAAAUUUACUCUUUCUAGAAAGGCAAGUUUGCUCCUGAAACUGUUAUGCCUUUCCAAGUUUACACUGAUUUCAAAUGAUUUAACAAAUAAAAAUCAUAAAUAAAUCAGCAAUCCUUUUCGUACAGUGAAAUGAAAUGGGGUUUAGUGAGGAUUAUUUUGCCUGGACAGAGGUGAUAGGCCUACGGCCUACUUUUAUUUCGAAUUCCAACUGUCAAGGGCUCUUUAAACCAUACGAGGUAAUAAUUAUAUUAUUAUUAUAUUACAAGAAAUAACCCAUAGUUGAUUUGGUACGAAGGAAUUCGCCUCUUUAACUAUAAUCAGUAUAUCCUAGUCGGUGAUUAUGUUAUUCUUGAUAAGAGAACAUUUAUUAUGUAAUAAUAUUCGACUAUUGUCAUCUACUUACCAAAAGGUCAAAGUUUACCACUUUAUUUAUCGACUGAUAAGCCAAGUCAAUAACACAAUCACGCCGGUAACUUUAUGUAAGUCAUUGACCCUGUUAAGAUAGUUUUCAGUCUGUAGUGAAUUGUAAGGUUUAGUCGUCUGCGUGAUGUUAACUGCACUUGUGAUAUCCGAAGAAAAUUCGUUUUAUCGGUAAUAAUUGUUUGACAAUGUAAACACUUCGUAAAAUAUAUAUACCCUUUUACGAGUAGUCUUACAGUCUUAAUGAAUUAUAGGGUUUCCUUAAAGGGUCAUGGGACUAUUUUCAUUGAUUAGCGUCUCACAUAAGAGGAAACAAAGUGACGCCCCAAAGGGAAGGACCGUGAGUGGACGGCAUAAUGGCCGCACAACCCCCACCCCACCCUACUCCACCCUAAAUACCCCAAUCGUGUUAAUCUGAAGUGUUUUUAAGUGCCAACGUCCAGCUUAAAAUUGUUAUCUUUCUCUUGUUGACCUUGUUUAAACCAAAACAUACCAGUUAUUCAAUGGCUUUUAACAUCGUGACAAUGUUUAAUUCUAUGUGUAGUCAUUAAUAUUAUUACUAUAUAUCGUUGUUAUCAAACCACCAUUAUGAAUCAUGGUUUAAUCGCUAAAUAUUAUUUUAUUGAUAUUUGUUGGGUGAGUGUGUAAACCUUUCUGAUUAUCAAGCUGUUUAUACCCAACUUAAUCUAGGUUAUAUCGUCUGGUUGAAACUGGUUACAGAUUUAUAUAAAUGUUAUUCACACUAACGCCAUAAAUUUGAGUACGCAACCAUGGUUUAUAAUAAAAAGCCCUGUUGAUAGUAAUAUUUUACAUUUAUAGUAAUAUUAUGUUGACGACAAGCUUGUUAUCCUAUACUAUACUAUUUCAUAUUGUCACGCAUUUUGAACGAUAGGAGUGUGAAUCAAUAGGCUACUAUAGGUUUGUAAUAGGUUUAAUAUGAUAAACACGGACGAAUGAAUUAAGCUACUUUGAUCCCCAUUGCCAUUUCAGUGUCAGUAAUACAGUCUUGUUUAACGUGGAGUAAGCUUACCGGUGUAUUGCGCAAUUUAUGGUAAAAUAUCAUGGUUAUAGGUUUUAUGUGAAUAAUUAGUUUACGUUCGUCAUUAUACAUGAUAUUAUACCAAAUAUACAAACCUCGAGGUUAAAGUUAAUAUCCGAUUGACUUUGAAUGUAUACACAUUGUUAAAGUUCAUGAUACGAAGAAGCCUAUUUAUUUUUACCAAUUUCUGAUAACUACUGCCAGAGUUAUGGCCCUUGAUCACUUUGAAAAAUCUUGUAGACGCUCUAGAGAUUAAAGUUAACAUCCGGUUGACUUUAAAUUUAUACACAGUGUUGAAGGUCACGAGACGAAGAAGCCUAUUGAUAAUUACUUCCAGAGUUAUGGCCCUUGAUCACUUUGCGAAAUACAUAAUGGUUUCAGUUGACUUUAGGUUGAUACACAGCAGUUCGGAGCAAAACAGUAGGACGUUAAGCCCCAUUUCAUUUUGAUACACAGAGUUUAAGGUCUUGAGACGAACAAGUACAUGUGUAUUAAUAUUCAAUGAUUUUGAUAACUUGAACAGCUAAAUUCACGAUAUUAAAUGUUUUGUAAUUUGUAUACUAAACGUUAGCAUGGGCUAAUGAUUUUCUGAUAAUUACUUAAGGAGUUGUUACUCUUAAUCAGAUUUUAGUGUAUUAUAAAUGUUUGAUUACCGACAAAAGUAAAAAUAUGCAACAACACUUGUUGACUGCCCAGACGACUUAGCUGCUAUGGGGGUAUGUUUCGUUGCCUUGCAACCUAUCUUUUGUGGUUUGGAGCAAAAUAGUUUUACUUAUCUAGCUUAUGACCAUUAUAUGAACUCAAAUGUAAAAUAUGAUGUGAAUGUUUGACCUCAACAUUAUAGAAGUUAUCUAUACGUCUGCGUGUUAAGCUAGUUUUUCAAGAAUAAUUACUGUCUCGUCAAAUGUGAUUACUUAUGUUAAACCCAACCGGCUUUAGAAAUGUACAUUAUACCAGGUGGUACAGAAAAUUAGGACGUUAAAUUCCGUUUCUUUUAUUUAAAAUCUACACCUAUAAUUAUUUGUUUCCCAAAUCAAAUCAUGUGUAUGUAUCUGUUUAAUCAUAAUAAUAUGGUAAAAUCUACAACCCGGAAGUGCCAGUUACACUGAGGAUAUAACAUAGUUUAGAAGUCAAAAGUCAGUAUAACGACAUUGGGUCUGUCUGGUACACUGGCCGACAAAGCGUAGUCGAGAACAAACCGUUGCAGCACUGAUAACCCCCUCACAGUAGCAGCAGUAUUGGAAUCCGACAGCUUGCGAUCCUGCAAAUGUACCGGUCUUGUUGAGACUUUGUCACGCGUUAUCGCCCAGACUUUGACCGAGCCCUAGUGGACCAUGUCUGCUGAAAAUGAUCAGUCAGUCUCCGUAGUACGGCAGCCCUGGUACUCCUGUUAUAUUGAAUUAACGCAAUGGCGCCUUCCCUGUAAUCAGGUGUUAACCUUGGCACACCGGUGUUUCCUCCACUGAACUGUAGAAGUUAUAGUGACCCUAAUUUUUUCAAAGUCAUAUUUUAUUCCCCACAUCAUUUUUCACGCGUUAUUAUCAUGUUCUCGUGUUGUUACAUUCACAAUUAAUCCUUGGCAGGCAAGAUCAUAUUGUAUCUUUACAUUCAAACGUAAAGAUAGACACACAAGUAAACAAGGGUAAUUUUAAAAUGUGGAAAUUUAUUUUGAAUGUGAACAGAUUAUAAAUUUAUAAACUGUCUACAGAUUACAAAUUUGUGAACUGUGAAAAGAUUAUAAAUUUGUAAACUGUGAAUAGAUUAUAACGUUGAACAUGUCAGUAUCUUUAAUAGCUUUCAUUUGUAUGUUAUUGUAUUAUCUAUCAGUCGAGAUUUACAGUUAUCCAUGUAGUUUGUUUUCAUUGCAUCUCUGUAUGUAAAAAUAACCUAUUCCCAAUCGCGACUUCAUUAUCUCGGUUGGUGCAGAAAAGUAGGACGUCAAACCCCAUUUCAUUUAUAUCACGCUCAUUUAUAUCCGCUCAUAUACAUAAUUAUUCUUGUACCUUUCAACAUCAGAGUGCCUUUAUUUCGUUCUAGAGGUUAAUCUGUGUUUUUUUGUUUAAUAUUUGUGUGUUCAUUUGUAUAUUAAUACAGACCACAAAUUGAAGUAUCGGGUUUUUAUACCUCCUCAACGUGAAUGGCAUUAUAUUCUAUUAAUAUUAAUUAUGUUUAUAACCAAUUUGUACUGUUAUAUGGUGAAAUACCCUGACUUGCUUUGUAAACACACUAUAUACGUAUCUGUGCUCAAUUCAACCCGGAUUUUCUCGCUACGAAUUCUGGUUUAUAUAUUUGAUUAUAUAAUAUAGUCAUAUUAUCGUCUGGUGUCUGUUUAUUAUCUCAAACAGCAUUUGUUUGUGUCGUUUGAUUUAUUAUCAAAUUUAUGUCAUGGUGACUUGACCUAAAUAUAUAUAAGCACAGA